ACUUUGCCUGUGUGGCCUCCAGUGGUCAGACAGAACCCAAAGGAAAAGAGCCAGGGUGCGGAUUGGCAGAAGCUAUUCUGGCCCAUGUGCAGAGCAUCAAGAAUGUGUGCUGCAAAAGAGUCUCUCUCUGUCACCCAGGCUGGAGUGCAGUGGCGCCAUCUCGGCUCACUGCAAGCUCCGCCUCCCGGGUUCAUGCCAUUCUCCUGCCUCAGCCUCCCGAGUAGCUGGGACUACAGGCGUCCGCCACCACGCCCAGGGAGAAGAGAAAAAAGUGCAUGAAGUAAAGAAAAAGCAGGGAAUGAGAGAAAAAAAUGGAGGAGUGAGUGCCACAGCCCAGUCAGUAAGUGCUACAUGGAGUCUCACUCUGUCGCCAGGCUGGAGUGCAGUCAGCUCACUGCAACCUCCACCUCCCGGGUUCAAGAGAUUCUCCUGCCUCAGACUCCUGAGUAGCUGGGACUACAGAUAUUUAGAAAUUAUUACAGGAACUUUUUCUGGACAGACAAGAACCUAAGUCUGAACAUCUAAAAGGCUCACAAAGAAUCAAGCAAAUUUAUUGAAAGAGACCAAUACUUAUUAGACCUAUCUUCGUGAACUGAAGAUCGAGAAAAAAAUUCCAAGAGGCAUUUGGACAGAAAAGCAUGUUGACUCCACAGGAACAAAAAUCAAACUGCAUUCAAAAUUCUCCUCUGCAAUGUCUAAUAGCAGGAGAAAUAAAAUAGUACCAACAGAGCUUCAAGGGAAAAAGACUGCAUUCUAAGAAUCCUAUAUUUAGGAAGUUGUUCAAGUGAAAGGGUAAUGGAAGAAAUGUUCUUAGAUGUGCAACUCACUGUUA
rnacentral:lncRNA from 1 species